UUAGAGUUUGAUCCUGGCUCAGGACGAACGCUGGCGGCGUGCUUAACACAUGCAAGUCGAGCGGUAAGGCCCUUUCGGGGGUACACGAGCGGCGGACGGGUGAGUAACACGUAGGUAAUUUUCCUUCCAGCGGGGGACAACGUUCCGAAAGGGACGCUAAUACCGCGUACGUUUCUCGGGACUCCGGUCCUGAGAAGGAAAGCUAGGUAGCAAUAUCCGGCACUGGAUGAGAAGCCUGCGUAGCAUCAGCUUGUUGGUGGGGUGAUGGCCUACCAAGGCGACGACGGGUAGCCGGCCUGAGAGGGCGACCGGCCACACUGGGACUGAGACACGGCCCAGACUCCUACGGGAGGCAGCAGUGGGGAAUAUUGCGCAAUGGGCGGAAGCCUGACGCAGCGACGCCGCGUGAU
rnacentral:rRNA from 1 species